UCUGGCUCAGGACGAACGCUGGCGGCGUGCUUAACACAUGCAAGUCGAACGGUAAGGCCCCUUCGGGGGUACACGAGUGGCGAACGGGUGAGUAACACGUGGGUGAUCUGCCCUGCACUCUGGGAUAAGCCUGGGAAACUGGGUCUAAUACCGGAUAUGAGCUCCUGUCGCAUGGCGGGGGUUGGAAAGGUUUACUGGUGCAGGAUGGGCCCGCGGCCUAUCAGCUUGUUGGUGGGGUAAUGGCCUACCAAGGCGACGACGGGUAGCCGGCCUGAGAGGGCGACCGGCCACACUGGGACUGAGACACGGCCCAGACUCCUACGGGAGGCAGCAGUGGGGAAUAUUGCACAAUGGGCGAAAGCCUGAUGCAGCGACGCCGCGUGAGGGAUGACGGCCUUCGGGUUGUAAACCUCUUUCAGCAGGGACGAAGCGAGAGUGACGGUACCUGCAGAAGAAGCACCGGCCAACUACGUGCCAGCAGCCGCGGUAAUACGUAGGGUGCGAGCGUUGUCCGGAAUUACUGGGCGUAAAGAGCUCGUAGGCGGUUUGUCGCGUCGUCCGUGAAAACUUGGGGCUCAACCCCAAGCUUGCGGGCGAUACGGGCAGACUUGAGUACUGCAGGGGAGACUGGAAUUCCUGGUGUAGCGGUGAAAUGCGCAGAUAUCAGGAGGAACACCGGUGGCGAAGGCGGGUCUCUGGGCAGUAACUGACGCUGAGGAGCGAAAGCGUGGGUAGCGAACAGGAUUAGAUACCCUGGUAGUCCACGCCGUAAACGGUGGGCGCUAGGUGUGGGUUUCCUUCCACGGGAUCCGUGCCGUAGCUAACGCAUUAAAGCG
rnacentral:rRNA from 1 species